UGUCCAUUCCACUCACCCAACUCCACUACCAACCUAACAACAAGCUGCUGUCAGCAACUGAAAGCCUUCACGUCCCCUACCGAGCCAAAUGAACCUGCUAAAAUAGCCGCUUUCCACAAUAGGCCAGAACCGAGAAGUGAACCCUGUCAGCAGUUAGGAAUGUUGAUGUUGUCCUGCAGAGGGACACUGGAGACCUGCGCUGUUACUGAGGCAGAAUGGACAUGAGUAUCUUGCAACAACCACUGAGUGAUUCACAGCAACUCCACAGAAAACCCUGAGCUAUGACAGGACAGUGUAAAUUUCUACCCAUAGUGGUGUUUGGAGACCACGACCCUCCAUAACAGCUUUAUUCUGCAGGUGUCUAAAACUGUACAGCAUGGAUUAACACAGUUCUUCAAAGAGAUAUUCCUUCAAUUGGUGUUUUGCAAUACUUUAGUAUUGAUCUGCUUUAGUAUCGAUUAGCACAGGUUUAUGUUUUAAUGUAUCACGUGUAUGCACAACUUCAGAUUAGGCCAUAAGUGUUUUCUGUUGUAGAAAUAGCAUUCACAGGUGAGCAAAGCGACAACAAAGAGAACGGGAUCAGAGCCCAAGAAGGCUAAAAUGUUUAACCUCAAAGGGAGUAUGUAUUUUAUUUCUGUAGAUAAAUGAGGCUUUUCAAAUCUAACGUGUGGGUUAUUUCCAUAUGUUCAAAGAUACAACGUGUGUAAUCAUCUAUCGACCGUGUGUGUGUGUGUGUGUGUGUGGCUUGAGGGUGCGCACCACAGCUGGGUGCUGGCAGUUUGUAGGCUUAACAUCACAUUAUAACUUGACUUCGUUGCCAAAACGCCGUCUGUGUUAUGAUUACACCUUAGAUAAAGAAAAGAGCGCAGUUUUACAUAACUCAAAAAAAUAAACGAAAGAAAGAAAGGACGGCCCAAAUUCACCACAGCACUGCAUACUUAAACAUUUGUACCUAGCGUGUGAUGUC